rnacentral:rRNA from 1 species
CCUACGGGUGGCAGCAGUGAGGAAUAUUGGUCAAUGGGCUUAAGCCUGAACCAGCCACGUCGCGUGAGGGAAGACUGCCCUAUGGGUUGUAAACCUCUUUUGUCAGGGAGCAACGCCGGCUACGUGUAGCCGGACUGAGAGUACCUGACGAAAAAGCAUCGGCUAACUCCGUGCCAGCAGCCGCGGUAAUACGGAGGAUGCGAGCGUUAUCCGGAUUUAUUGGGUUUAAAGGGUGCGUAGGCGGGAUGCCAAGUCAGCGGUAAAAUCGCGGGGCUCAACCUCGCUCCGCCGUUGAAACUGGCGGUCUUGAGUGGGCGAGAAGUAUGCGGAAUGCGUGGUGUAGCGGUGAAAUGCAUAGAUAUCACGCAGAACUCCGAUUGUGAAGGCAGCAUACCGGCGCCCAACUGACGCUGAAGCACGAAAGCGUGGGUAUCGAACAGGAUUAGAUACCCGAGUAGUC